rnacentral:rRNA from 1 species
GACGAACGCUGGCGGCGUGCUUAACACAUGCAAGUCGAACGGAAAGGCCCUGCUCUUGUGGGGUGCACGAGUGGCGCACGGGUGAGUAACACGUGAGUAAACUGUCCUUGUAUUUGGGAUAACUCUUGGAAACUGGGGCUAAUACCGGAUAGGAGCUCCUGCAGCAUGGUGGGGGUUGGAAAGUUUCGGCGGUUGGGGAUGGACUCGCGGCUUAUCCGCUUGUUGGUGGGGUAGUGGCUUACCAAGGCUGUGACGGGUAGCCGGCCUGAGCGGGUGACCGGCCACAUUGGGACUGAGAGACGGCCCAGACUCCUACGGGAGGCAGCAGUGGGGAAUAUUGCACAAUGGGCGGAAGCCUGAUGCAGCAACGCCGCGUGCGGGAUGACGGCCUUCGGGUUGUAAACCGCUUUCGCCUGUGACGAAGCGUGAGUGACGGUAAUGGGUAAAGAAGCACCGGCUAACUACGUG